UGGGGAAUAUUGCACAAUGGGCGCAAGCCUGAUGCAGCCAUGCCGCGUGUGUGAAGAAGGCCUUCGGGUUGUAAAGCACUUUCAGCGAGGAGGAAGGUGGUGAACUUAAUACGUUCAUCAAUUGACGUUACUCGCAGAAGAAGCACCGGCUAACUCCGUGCCAGCAGCCGCGGUAAUACGGAGGGUGCAAGCGUUAAUCGGAAUUACUGGGCGUAAAAGCGCACGCAGGCGGUUUGUUAAGUCAGAUGUGAAAUCCCCGGGCUCAACCUGGGAACUGCAUUUGAAAACUGGCAAGCUAGAGUCUCGUAGAGGGGGGUAGAAAUUCCAGGUGUAGCGGUGAAAUGCGUAGAGAUCUGGAGGAAUACCGGUGGCGAAAAGCGGCCCCCUGGACGAAGACUGACGCUCAGGUGCGAAAAGCGUGGGGAGCAAAACAGGAUUAGAUACCCUGGUAGUCCACGCUGUAAAACGAUGUCGAUUUUGGAGGUUGUGCCCUUGAGGCGUGGCUUCCGGAGCUAACGCGUUAAAUCGACCGCCUGGGGAGUACGGCCGC
rnacentral:rRNA from 1 species